rnacentral:tRNA from 1 species
ACCGAAGAUGGUGAAAUGUGAGUGUUCACACAGAUUGUCUGAUGAAAACAAGAGACGGUGUCGGUAUAGGCUUGUAGUUCAGGUGGUUAGAGCGCACCCCUGAUAAGGGUGAGGUCGGUGGUUCAAGUCCACUCAGGCCUACCAAUUCUUUUGGGAAUUGGCCGCGCACAGAUGCCGGACGAGACAUGGGGCUAUAGCUCAGCUGGGAGAGCGCCUGCCUUGCACGCAGGAGGUCAGCGGUUCGAUCCCGCUUAGCUCCACCAUUUUCUGCUCUUGGGCAAACACGGGAUUUCAGAAUGUAUCGGAUUGUCGGUAUAUUGUGAAAUCUUUGCUCUUUAACAAUCUGGAACAAGCUGAAAAAUUGAAACAUUCAGUGACACGGCUUUCUGAGUGAAAGCGGUCAUUGAAGAGUCUCUCAACAACCCCAGUCCGAAGACCCCUUCGGGUUGUGA